AAUCGAGGAAGUCACUUCGGUGACAGGAAGACAGGUGGUGCAUGGUUGUCGUCAGCUCGUGUCGUGAGAUGUUGGGUUAAGUCCCGCAACGAGCGCAACCCUUAUUGUUAGUUGCUACCAUUUAGUUGAGCACUCUAGCGAGACUGCCCGGGUUAACCGGGAGGAAGGUGGGGAUGACGUCAAAUCAUCAUGCCCCUUAUGUCUAGGGCUACACACGUGCUACAAUGGCUGGUACAGAGAGAUGCUAAACCGCGAGGUGGAGCCAAACUUUAAAACCAGUCUCAGUUCGGAUUGUAGGCUGAAACUCGCCUACAUGAAGCUGGAGUUGCUAGUAAUCGCGAAUCAGAAUGUCGCGGUGAAUACGUUCCCGGGCCUUGUACACGCCGCCCGUCACACCAUGAGAGUUGGCAAUACCCAAAGUUCGUGAGCUAACCCGUAAGGGAGGCAGCGACCUAAGGUAGGGUCAGCGAUUGGGGUGAAGUCGUAACAAGGUAGCCGUAGGAGAACC
rnacentral:rRNA from 1 species